GAUGAAGAACGUAGCGAAAUGCGAUACGUAAUGUGAAUUGCAGAAUUCAGUGAAUCAUCGAAUCUUUGAACGCAUAUUGCGCUCUCUGGUAUUCCGGAGAGCAUGCUUGCUUGAGUAUCAGUAAACACCUCAACUUCCAUAUCUUUUUUGAAAUGGGAGUUGGACUUGAGUGAUCCCAACGCUUUUCCUCACCGAAAAGCGGCGGGUUACUUGAAAUGCAGGUGCAGCUGGACUUUUCUCUGAGCUAUAAGCAUAUCUAUUUAGUCUGCCUAAAAAACAGAUUAUUACCUUUGCUGCAGCUAACAUAAAGGAGAUUAGUUCUUGUGCUGACUGAUGCAGGAUUCACAAAGACAGGCUUCGGCCGACUUUGUAAACUCGAUCUCAAAUCAAGUAAGACUACCCGCUGAACUUAAGCAUAUCAAUAAGCGGAGGA
rnacentral:misc_RNA from 1 species